GUAUGUAUAUAUGUAUAUAUGUGUAUGUAUAUAUGUAUAUAUGUAUGUAUACAUGUAUAUAUAUAUAUAUAUGUAUAUGUGUAUAUAUGUUUAUCUAUGUAUAUGUAUAUAUAUCCAUAUAUGUAUCUAUAUGUACAUGUAUAUAUGUGUAUGUAUAUAUAUGUAUCUAUAUAUAUUUAAAGAUGGAUGACAUGUGUAUAUUUACUGUUGGCCAAUAGUGAAGCCAAAAUAUGUCCUACCUUAACUGCUGCCAUCCUAAGAUGAUGCUAUUAUAUGGGGCUUGAGUCUACGCAGUAGGGAUCUGCUGUUGAAGCAGAUAGUAUUGAUCCUCAACCCUUUCUUAUUACCGGAAAACAAAUAUAACUAACCAAUUUAGCAGCAAAGAUUUUUUCAGGUUGGUACAGUCUAUCAAAUAAAAGCUUUAUUUUCUGCUUUGAAACGGACACUAAUAGUAGGUCCUGCUAAUACGGUGCUGAUAUCACCACAUGCUAUGUAUUUGUCAACAUAGCUGUCAAUCAUUCAUUAUAACCUUCUCAAGACAAAGCAACACAAGUGCGCAGAUCAGCAUUAUAGGAACGAAAAUUAGGAUUUUGGUCAUGUAUUUUGAUGGUACAGUUUGACUCAUGUCCCUUCUGUCAACGUGGAGAAGUCGGGCAGUUGGAUCAUUACAGCAGCCAAUCACUCAUUGGGGUUCCAGAAGUUUGGCAGUGUUGUCCAUCUUUGUAAACAGUUUUUAAUGCAAGUUGCCAAAGUUAUUCCAGCCAAAUUAAAAUGAUUGACCUGGAAAACUAAUGGAUAAGAUUUAAAAAAAAAAGAAAAUUUCAACUGACACGACAAAGCCUUUUUUCGCAGUUUUCUAUCUCUUGAGACAGCCAAUAAGAAUGUUCCAAAAUGUUGUAGUGCUCCGUCAAAGUGACGCUGCCAGAGAGUGUUUUUGACUAGGUUGAGCACUUAAAUCUGCAUGCUCCAAGUGUGUGUGCUUUUCUGUAUGGGUGUGUGGCAGCUUACCUUCAUCUUCACUCCCCUACCCCCUCCAUACACACACACACACACACAGUUUGGUCUGCAUCUGUAGAUAAGAUUUACAUGCUACAUUACAAAUUAGUUACAAUUUAGUGCAUGGAACUUGUGUACAGACCGCAUUUGUAUGGAUACCAUGCACACUACCUAUUUAUAUAAAUGCAUAUAAAUGUAAGAUACCUGUGUAAAUGUAUCAGGUAUACUGAAGAUUGUUCACUGUCCAACACUUUUGACUUGCAUUGUACUUAUCAGUGUACAUAAAAGCACUAACUUUGAGACUGUGUUAGAGUAAUAAUAAUGAUUAUUUUGUCAUGUGAGUUAAACCAAUUUGUACUAGAUGCAGACAAUAGAUGCUAUCAUUAUUAUUACCUCUACUGCAGUUGUAAUAUUUAAGUUGUAUGCUCAUUUUUAAGUUUUUAAAAAUGGAAUUGCUAAUUUUGACCACUAGGUGGGGAGUAAGCGCAAUGUUACUGUGAUAGAACUAUUACAAAAAAAAAGGAAAGGCAAAAAAAAAACAAAUUUUGAUGUUUUUAAAGGAGAACAAAAGGACUACCUUUCCCAGCAUUCCUGUCUCAGGUUCAGGGAAGGAGCCUACAGUUCUGGGCAGGGCUGAGAUCCACAUUUUAUUUUAUUUUAUUUUUUUUUAUUUUGAGCCAGUAUUAAAUCUUGGAGCGACUGCAGUCCAGCUAAAUAACAUUUCCAGGUUCUUGUACUAAGUUUUGUGCCAUGUUUUUUAUCUUUUAUGUAAUGUUUCACAUUUAAAGUCCCUGAGAAACACUGUAAUAUGUACAGAGCCCUGAAGUGGUCAGUGGGAUAUCAUUAAAAACACUUGGUAGUAAAAUUAACUUUUUAAGUACUGAAUUUGAAAAAAAAAAAGUUAUGACUACAGUUGCAUUUUGUGAUUAUAUUUUUUUAAUUCGUGAUGUUUGUCCGGACAUAUGGUGACCCUAAAAGGACAAGUAUCCCAAAAAUAAGUUUUUCAUUGAUGGAAAAAAAUAAUUGUUAAAAAUUUAGCAAGUAAUCAAAACUGCUCCUGUGGUUCCUCUUUUUUCAAAUUACAGAAACAAUAAGCCAGUAUUCUACAUUAUUUUUCAUUCGUCCCCACAUUGCCUUUCCAGGACUAGACAGAAUAUGCCAACUAAAUAGUAUGACACGGAAUGCAACUUAACAAGAGAAAAAAACUAAAGCACAAAUUCAAUUCACAGAUUUUUCUUUAUUUUGGGCAUUCAUAUGAAAAGGAGAAGUAGUGCCAAAUGAAUUCUUUAGCAUUUGAAAGACCUAUGUUCUACUUUUUUGAUGUGAUGUUGAUCACUUUGAGGCUCUUCUUCUCUUUUAAUUUUGGUCAAACAUCUCUUGAUUUGGUUUUGCACGGUCCGAAUGGAUAGAAACAAAAACAUCUGGUAGCUUCCUGCAGCUGCAUGCAUUAAGACAGGUGGAUGAAAACCAGCAGAAGAUUUCCCUCUACCUUUUCAUCCAUCCAUCUCUGCUGCAGGAAGGUGAUAUCUGUUAUCUCAUGCUGUCUGUCAUGUCUACCUCAUUUGCACUGAUAGUUAAAGAAUGUUUCAGUGAAGGAAAAGACGCAUAUUUCUUGUAUGCAUACUGAAAAAAAAAAUUCUUUUUCUGUAUUUGUGCAAAUGUUGCUGAGAAGCCUGAUAAGAGCAAGAAGGGGGACAGAGAAGUGGAAGGUGGAAUUAUUGGACGGACUGGACUUCAACAAUCCUUUGUGGAGACACUACGAGAAGGAUGCACUGCUGGGUGAAAAACAAGCUGCCCAAUCUGAUGUAAUGAUCUUUGUGGAAGGAAAAGAUCCGUUGAAAUCCUCCUAUCCUCAAAAACCUCCAGAAAACAUUAGAAAUGUGAGAUUUCAGUUUGCCAACUUUUAAUACUUUUUUAAUGCAUUAUUUUGUACAGAGUUCCAUUGCUAACCAUUCCUCAUAUGUGUUAUUUUAUUUUGCCAAUUAAAGCUGCACUGGUGUGUCAGAAAAAAUUUCCAAGUCAACAUAAAUCAAAGUUGAUAAGUUCAGUUUCUAGUGAGGGUUAACUAUGUGUAGUUCACUGACUUUGGAAUUUCUUUUUUUGCAUCUUUCAAGGAUUUUUGGAUAUGUUUUGUUUAGUCAGAUGAAAAGGUGUGAAAUCAGUUAGCUGAUUGUCUUUUUUCUAGUCCCAGCACUAAAUUGAUAUCCAUGAUACAAUAUGUCAUUUACAGAUUAACUUAUUUUUCUUUGUCAAAGACCAGAUUUCUUCAGUUUAUACCACACAAAACAGAAAAGCUGACAAAUCUUUAACAAUAAUAAAAUGACAUCACCAACCUCUCAGAAAGCAUUCAAAAGUAGUCUGCCAUAAUCUAUCUGAAAAAAAGGCAAGCAUUGACAAUGAAGUUAUGGGAAUCAGUCAGGGUGACAGAGCUGCUCUUUUCAGAUCCAAGUUUUGGAUUUGACAUCUAACCAGUUUUCCUGAAUGCUUUGCUGUUAUUCUUUUUUUUUUCUAUUAUGGGUCCAUAAUUGUCCUUGUGCAGUUGUACAUGUUUCUGCUCCUGCCUUCACUUCUUCAGUCAGAACCCCCCUCACCCUCCCUCCCUAAUGGACAAUUAAACUGACAGGAAGCUCAGCUGUGAGGAUGAGCAUUGAGGAAGGUGAUGAUAGUGAUGACAAAGAUGAAGAGUCAGUGUUAGGUGGAUGUGUGUGAGGAGAUGUGGUUGAUUUGAAACCCGUUUUUUUCAGCAGGAUAUAAAGUUAAAAAAUGUUCAGGUUAAUGCAAAAUGUUGGAUGAGUGUUGAGAAAGGAGUUGUACAGAAAUGUAACAAAAUAAUUUUUGGGAAAUAAAUGAACAAAAAAAGAGAAAUGUUUUGCGAUUGUUUGGUGGGAAGUUCAGCCAUUAAAAUCAGUUGAAACAGA